rnacentral:rRNA from 1 species
GAGGGGGACCUUGGGCCUCUUGCCAUCGAUGUGCCCAGAUGGGAUUAGCUAGUAGGUGGGGUAACGGCUCACCUAGGCGACGAUCCCUAGCUGGUCUGAGAGGAUGACCAGCCACACUGGAACUGAGACACGGUCCAGACUCCUACGGGAGGCAGCAGUGGGGAAUAUUGCACAAUGGGCGCAAGCCUGAUGCAGCCAUGCCGCGUGUAUGAAGAAGGCCUUCGGGUUGUAAAGUACUUUUCAGCGGGGAGGAAGGCGAUAAGGUUAAUAACCUUGUCGAUUGACGUUACCCGCGAAGA